GUAUCCAUUCUUUCCCUGCAUAAUCCGAAGCUGACCCUACUCCAGCUUUAGGAGUCAACCUGUUUUGUCCAAGAUGGUAGCUUUCAAGCUUUUUUUGACUCCAAUCCACAAGUAGAUUUUAUAUGGUGAUCCAGGUUAUGGACCACUGUUUGAAAGACACUGAUGAGUGUAAUGCAAUUGCCCUUAGAAAAAUUGUUGAGAAACCUGGAUAAAAGCCUACUGGAGGAACGUAGAUGGAGCUGGUGGCCAUUAUUCUUAGUAAACUCAUGCAGGAACAGAAAACCAAAUACUGCACGUUCCCACUUACAGGGACCAGGUGGAGAUAAGUGAAUCAUGGGGGCAGUUUCCUCCAUGCUGUUCUUGUGAUGGCUACUAGACAGAAGUGGCAUGCCUUGUCUCAGAUGGGACUUUGAACUUGGACUUUUGGUUUAAUGCUGGAAUGAGUUAAGACUUUGAGGUCCUUGUUUUUUCUUCACCUUCCACCAUGAUUGUAAGUCUCCUGAAGACUCGCCAGCCAUGUAGAACUGCAUAUUCUCAGUUUGGGUGUGGUGGCGUGUACCUGUGGCCCUGGCUACUCAGAAGGCUGAAGAAGGAGGAUCCCUUGAGCCUGAGAGUUUGAAGCACAAGAACCAUCAAUCAGCACAGAAGACUUCUGUGACCCCAAACUAUGUGGGGAUUUCUCCCUAGCAACAAGCAAGCAAUCAGUUUGGCAACAAACACUGACUGGAUGUCUUCCAAUUCAAUUCCAACACUAUCUACCUGGAAAUAGUGUCUGAUCCCACAGGGUAAGGGCUCAGCCCCCCAAAGAUUGUCCUCUUUCCCUCUCCCAACACUGCUAGACACCAGUCACAGGUCUGGGGCCUCUGGAACUUCUGACAACUGGCUUCAAGUUGGGGUUCCCACAAUCCCUCUUGGGGUUCAAUUAAUUUGCUAUAGUGACUCACAGAACUCAGGGAAACAUGUUUACCAAUUUAUUUUAUUACAAAGGAUACAGAUGAAGAGAUGCUCAGGGUGAGGUAUGGGGGAAGGGGCACAGAACUCCCAUGCCCUCCCUGGGCGAGCUGCCCUCCAGGAACUUGCAUGUGUUCAGCUAUCCAGAAGCUCUCUAAAUCCAGUCAUCCUGGCUUUUUAUAGAAGCUUCAUGACGUUAGCAUUCCUUCCCCCAGGGUAUGGGAUGGGACCCUCUCUGGAAUGGUGGUCUUAUGACCCACAAUCAGAUUACAGACCUGCCUUGGGGCAGGUGAAAGGAACACUGGAGAAAGUCAGAGAGGCCUAACAUACCAACAUUGUAACAAAAGACUGUAACAAGGACUCUGGGAGUUAUGAGCCAGGAAUCGUAGAUGGAAACCUAUACAUAUGUGUGUAUUUAUAUCUAUUACCACAUCAAGGAAAGGUUUCACACACUGGUAUGAAACUGGAAAUAAUUAACAGGAGAAAACUUGGAAAGUUUGCAAGUAUGUGGAAUUAACACUCCUGAACAACCAAUGGGUCAAAGAAGAAAUCAGAAAUAUCUUAAGACAAAUGAAAAUGGAAACACAACAUACCGAAAUUUAUGGGAUGUGGCUAGGUGCAGUGGCUCAUGCCUGUAAUCUCAGCAUUUUGGGAGGCCAAGACUGGCACAUCACUCGAGGUCAGGAGUUCAAGACUAGCCUGGCCAACAUGGUGAAACCCCCAUCUCUACUAAAAAUACAAAAAGUAGCCUGUACUAAAAAUCUGUACUAAAAAUAUAAAACAAUUAGCUGGGCGUGGUGGCGUAUGUCUGUAAUCUCAGCUACUCAGGAGGCUGAGACAGGAGGAUUGCUUGAAACCGGGAGGCAGAGGUUGCAGUGUGCCAAGAUCGCGCCUCUCCACUCCAGGCUGGGCGACAAAGCAAGACUUCGUCUCAAUCAAUCAAUCAAUCAAUGAGAGUGGAUGCAAUAUUAUCCCUAUAAUAAUAUUCUCAGUACCUUGCAUUCAUAUAUGCUUUUAUUACUUUGGCAAGCAAGGAACACUGGGUAUUGCACAUAACUUGAAGCCUGUUUAUCUCAGUUAAGUUGCUGCCAGUAAUCUUGGUCACCUUUCAGGAGUGUUACAGAUGAACAUCACCCAUUCUCUAACUUUAAUUUUUCUAAAUUAAAUGAAUUAUGAAAUAUAGUUGACCCUUGAACAAUGUGGAGGUUAGGGGUCAUCAACACAUCCCUCACUGCACAGUCAAAAAUCCACGUAUAACUUUUGGCUUCCCGAACACUUAACUACUAAUAGCCUACUGUUGACUUUACUGAUAAACCAUCUAUUAACACAUAUUUUGUAUGUUAUAUGUAUUAUAUGCUGUAUUUUUUAACAAUAAAGCAAGAAAAAAGGAAAUGGGCCGAGUGUGAUGGCUCACACCUGUUACCCCAACACUUUGGGAGGCUAAGGCGGGAGGAUUGCUUUAGGCCAGGAGUUCGAGAACAGCCUGGGCAAAAUAGUAAGAGUCCGUCUCUU